rnacentral:rRNA from 1 species
GAUGAACGCUGGCGGCGUGCCUAAUACAUGCAAGUCGAGCGAACAGAUGAGGAGCUUGCUCCUCUGACGUUAGCGGCGGACGGGUGAGUAACACGUGGAUAACCUACCUAUAAGACUGGGAUAACUUCGGGAAACCGGAGCUAAUACCGGACAAUAUAUUGAACCGCAUGGUUCAAUAGUGAAAGACGGUUUUGCUGUCACUUAUAGAUGGAUCCGCGCCGCAUUAGCUAGUUGGUAAGGUAACGGCUUACCAAGGCAACGAUGCGUAGCCGACCUGAGAGGGUGAUCGGCCACACUGGAACUGAGACACGGUCCAGACUCCUACGGGAGGCAGCAGUAGGGAAUCUUCCGCAAUGGGCGCAAGCCUGACGGAGCCACGCCGCGUGAGUGAUGAAGGUCUUCGGGUCGUAAACCUCUGUUAUUCGGGAAGAACACCUGUGUAAGUAACUAUGCACGUCUUGGCGGUACCUAAUCAGAAAGCCACGGCUAACUACGUG